GCGCCAGACUCCUACGGGAGGCAGCAGUGAGGAAUAUUGGUCAAUGGGCGCGAGCCUGAACCAGCCAAGUCGCGUGAGGGAGGACGGCCCUACGGGUUGUAAACCUCUUUUGCCGGGGAGCAACGGGCGUCACGUGUGGCGCCACUGAGAGUACCCGGAGAAAAAGCAUCGGCUAACUCCGUGCCAGCAGCCGCGGUAAUACGGAGGAUGCGAGCGUUAUCCGGAUUUAUUGGGUUUAAAGGGUGCGCAGGCGGAAUGUCAAGUCAGCGGUAAAAUUUCGGGGCUCAACCCCGUCGUGCCGUUGAAACUGGCGUUCUUGAGUGAGCGAGAAGUAUGCGGAAUGCGUGGUGUAGCGGUGAAAUGCAUAGAUAUCACGCAGAACUCCGAUUGCGAAGGCAGCAUACCGGCGCUCAACUGACGCUCAUGCACGAAAGCGUGGGUAUCGAACAGGAUUAGAUACCCGGGUAA
rnacentral:rRNA from 1 species